AGUGAACGCUGGCGGUAGGCCUAACACAUGCAAGUCGAACGGCAGCACAGUAAGAGCUUGCUCUUACGGGUGGCGAGUGGCGGACGGGUGAGGAAUACAUCGGAAUCUACUUUUUCGUGGGGGAUAACGUAGGGAAACUUACGCUAAUACCGCAUACGACCUACGGGUGAAAGCAGGGGAUCUUCGGACCUUGCGCGAUUGAAUGAGCCGAUGUCGGAUUAGCUAGUUGGCGGGGUAAAGGCCCACCAAGGCGACGAUGCGUAGCUGGUCUGAGAGGAGGGUCGCGGAAAAGGGAAGUGGGAAAGGGGGCAGAGUCCUAGGGGAGGGAACAGAAGGGAACGUUGGGCAAGGGGGGCAAGCGUGAUAGAGCAAAACCGCGGGAGGGAAGAGAGCCCGCGGAUCUUAAAACCCUGUUUGUAGGGAAGAACAAAAGGAAAAUGAAACACAGAAGUCCUGACGGUAACGAAGAAGAAAGAAAGGGAUAACAACGGG
rnacentral:rRNA from 1 species